CGUAAAUGAAGGUAAAUGGAGAUUGAUGAACGUAGAUGAACGUAAAUGAAGGUAGAUGAAUGUAAAUGGAGGUAGAUGAAGGUCGGUGAACGUAAAUGACGGUAGAUGAACGUAAAUGACGGUAGAUGAAGGUAGAUGAACGUAAAUGAAGGUAGAUGAAUGUAGAAGGAGGUAGAUGAAGGUAGAUGAACGUAAAUGACGGUAGAUGAAGGUAGAUGAACGUAAAUGAAGGUAGAUGAAGGUAGAUGGACGUAAAUGAAGGUAGAUGGAGGUAGAUGAAGGUAGAUGGACGUAAAUGAAGGUAGAUGGAGGUAGAUG